AGUGAACGCUGGCGGUAGGCCAAACACAUGCAAGUCGAACGGCAGCACAGUAAGAGCUUGCUCUUACGGGUGGCGCGUGGCGGACGGGUGAGGAAUACAUCGGAAUCUACUUUUUCGUGGGGGAUAACGUAGGGAAACUUACGCUAAUACCGCAUACGACCUACGGGUGAAACCAGGGGAUCUUCGGACCUUGCGCGAUUGAAUGAGCCGAUGUCGGAUUAGCUAGUUGGCGGGGUAAAGGCCCACCAAGGCGACGAUCCGUAGCUGGUCUGAGAGGAUGAUCGGCCACACUGGAACUGAGACACGGUCCAGACUCCUACGGGAGGCAGCAGUGGGGAAUAUUGGACAAUGGGCGCAAGCCUGAUCCAGCCAUACCGCGUGGGUGAAGAAGGCCUUCGGGUUGUAAAGCCCUUUUGUUGGGAAAGAAAAGCAGCAGGUUAAUACCCCGCUGUUCUGACGGUACCCAAAGAAUAAGCACCGGCUAACUUCGUG
rnacentral:rRNA from 1 species